GUUCGCGCUGAAGGCCUGUUGCCUAGGCUACGUACGGAGGACUCGGUUCCUCAUUUGCGCCUAGGGGAAAGUCCCCGGAUCUCUGGCAGAGAGUGCCGCGUGCGCAUGCACGUAGACUUCCUCCGCUUCUCCUUGUCAAUCCGCCAAGACGCGAGCCCGUUAGGCGGGGGAGCCGAGCGGUGUGCGGCGGGGUGUUGUCAUCCGUCAUCUCCUCUAGUUACGCAGGCGGUGCGUCCGCGCACUAACCACACGGGGCUCAUUCUCAGCGCGGC
rnacentral:RNase_MRP_RNA from 12 species